GAUGAACGCUGGCGGCGUGCCUAAUACAUGCAAGUCGAGCGAACAGACGAGGAGCUUGCUCCUCUGACGUUAGCGGCGGACGGGUGAGUAACACGUGGAGAACCUACCUAUAAGACUGGGAUAACUUCGGGAAACCGGAGCUAAUACCGGAUAAUAUAUUGAACCGCAUGGUUCAAUAGUGAAAGACGGUUUUGCUGUCACUUAUAGAUGGAUCCGCGCCGCAUUAGCUAGUUGGUAGGGUAACGGCUUACCAAGGCAACGAUGCGUAGCCGACCUGAGAGGGUGAUCGGCCACACUGGAACUGAGACACGGUCCAGACUCCUACGGGAGGCAGCAGUAGGGAAUCUUCCGCAAUGGGCGAAAGCUUGACGGAGCAACGCCGCGUGAGUGAUGAAGGUCUUCGGAUCGUAAAACUCUGUUAUUAGGGAAGAACAAAUGUGUAAGUAACUAUGCACGUCUUGACGGUACCUAAUCAGAAAGCCACGGCUAACUACGUG
rnacentral:rRNA from 1 species